rnacentral:tRNA from 1 species
GUUUUAAUAGUUUAAUAAAAACAUUGGUCUUGUAAACCAAAAAUAAGACACUGUCUUUUAAAACU